AUUAUUUUAGUUAUUUUUCUAUUCUCAUGGGUAGGUUUCUUCUGUGUUGUUUUGCUUUAGUUUCGUAGUUGUCACUCCCAUGUAUUUCUUCGACGAGGAGGCGUGGACACGAGGCCUAACUAUCCGGUCGGGACUUUGAGUUGCCUGCCAUGGUGGAGCUCGGGAUGUUGGCAGAUCUGACCGGACUGUGCCAUUUGGAGUAACAGUCUACAAUGCCACAACACUUUGUUGGACCUAUUUUUGGCGUUUCUUCUGCCAGCUGAUGAGUCUUUCAGGGAUGCAAAUUGUCUGCCUU